rnacentral:sRNA from 1 species
AAAAGGCGAUCUUCAUUCAUGCCCCAUUCCGGGUCAUGGCGUGACGCCUAUUAUAUCCGGAUCGGGGAAAUACCGC